rnacentral:rRNA from 1 species
AUUGAACGCUGGCGGCAGGCCUAACACAUGCAAGUCGAGCGGUGCGGCGGACGGGCGAGUAAUGCCUAGGAAUCUGCCUGGCAGUGGGGGAUAACGUCCGGACACGGGCGCUAAUACCGCAUCCUAUCAGAUGAGCCUAGUUCGGAUUAGCUAGUUGGUGGGGUAAAUGCCUACAAAGGCGACGAUCCGUAACUGGUCUGAGAGGAUGAUCUGUCACACUGGAACUGAGACACGGUCCAGACUCCUACGGGAGGCAGCAGUGGGGAAUAUUGGACAAUGGGCGAAAGCCUGAUCCAGCCAUGCCGCGUGUGUGAAGAAGGUCUUCGGAUUGUAAAGCACUUUAAGUUGGGAGGCGUUACCAACAGAAUAAGCACCGGCUAACUACGUGCCAGCCGCCGCGGUAAUUC